rnacentral:rRNA from 1 species
UUUCUGGUUGAUCCUGCCGGACCUGACUGCUAUCGGAUUGAUACUAAGCCAUGCGAGUCAUUGUAGCAAUACAAGGCAUACGGCUCAGUAACGCGUAGUCAACCUAACCUAUGGACGGGAAUAACCUCGGGAAACUGAGAAUAAUGCCCGAUAGAACAUUAUGCCUGGAAUGGUUUAUGUUCCAAAUGAUUUAUCGCCGUAGGAUGGGACUGCGGCCUAUCAGUUUGUUGGUGAGGUAAUGGCCCACCAAGACUAUUACAGGUACGGGCUCUGAGAGGAGUAGCCCGGAGAUGGGUACUGAGACACGGACCCAGGCCCUAUGGGGCGCAGCAGGCGAGAAAACUUUGCAAUGUGCGAAAGCACGACAAGGUUAAUCCGAGUGAUUUCUGCUAAAGAGAUCUUUUGUUAGUCCUAGAACCACUAACGAAUAAGGGGUGGGCAAGUUCUGGUGUCAGCCGCCGCGGUAAAACCAGCACCUCAAGUGGUCAGGAUGAUUAUUGGGCCUAAAGCAUCCGUAGCCGGCUCUGUAAGUUUUCGGUUAAAUCUGUACGCUUAACGUACAGGCUGCCGGGAAUACUGCAGAGCUAGGGAGUGGGAGAGGUAGACGGUACUCGAUAGGAAGUGGUAAAAUGCUUUGAUCUAUCGAUGACCACCUGUGGCGAAGGCGGUCUACCAGAACACGUCCGACGGUGAGGGAUGAAAGCUGGGGGAGCAAACCGGAUUAGAUACCCGGGUAGUCCCAGCUGUAAACUAUGCAAACUCAGUGAUGCAUUGGCUUGUGGCCAAUGCAGUGCUGCAGGGAAGCCGUUAGGUUUGCCGCCUGGGAAGUACGUACGCAAGUAUGAAACUUAAAGGAAUUGGCGGGGGAGCACCACAAGGGGUGAAGCCUGCGGUUCAAUUGGAUUCAACGCCGGA